GGCUGCCGUUUAGAUCACCGUCGGGGCGACGUUGCAGAAACUGGGGGUGGAAUGUAAUGAAAUUAGGUGACUGACAGCCGAAUUUACCUAUCAGCGACUAGUAUCUUCAAUAUAAAGGCUGAUUGGUUGUUGCCCGUGAUGCGUCACGUCCGACUUUCCCCUUUGUGCCCGUGUUUACGGUGGUUACAGGUAAGCGCGCUGUGCUGUAACAGGCGGUUAUUUUAAAACUGGUUGGUCUUUUAAAAGUGUUUCCUUCCGUAAAUUAUAGUGUCGUUUUGGCCUGGUCAGUGUGUUGUCGGCGCUGCUUGGUGGAUUUAAUGACUGUUUGCCUCUCAGGUGCGAUUUCCUGUACCCCAGGGUGCUAUCGGUGGGCAUGAUUUAUAGACCUGUGCCUGUACAUUUUCUAUUUUGUAUGAUACCUUGACGGAGCUGGGGUCCCACGGGUGAACGGAUCUUCCUCCUUGUGGUGGUGGUUCUUCUUUAUUGCGUGCUGUGUACCACUUUGAGUGUGUGUGGUAGUGUGAUCUGAGUGCACCUUGGUGUGUGUGCGCGUGAAACUGUGCCCUUGUAAAACCAGACUCCAUUUUGUUUCCUGCCGUUGGGAGCCUCAGCCCUGCUGGUAUUAUAUUUUUUUUUUCAUAUUUAAAGUUGAUUUUGUGUCAUUGCCUAUAUUCAUUUUUUUGUAAUUUCAUUUUCUUUCAUUUAAAGUGGGAUCUCCUGUUGCUUCUCUGACAUUUUAGUGUCCAUUUUAAAACAUUCUUGUAUUAAUAAACAUUUGUAUUUUUAUAUUAUACCCACGUCUCCUGUUCACUUGUAUGAGGGAACCGAACCUGUGUGCUUAAUUACUCCAUUUUUGGGUUUUGAGUAUUGUUCCCUAGAGCUAAUUUCUAGGGUGGCGUAGUCGGAUUUUCUUACUGGUAAAAGGUUGGUUUUCAUAAUUGUACC